GCAGGGGCUCGAGGAUUUCUGAGCGGUCCUGGAAAAAAUUUGCCCAGAGCUGAGGUGGGAAGCCAGCUACGUAAGCCCUGGGCAUUGGCUCCGCAGCCUCCUGCUCAUCCUCCUGGUGAGCAGCCGGUGACUCUGAGGGCCUUGGAAAAACUAUCUCAAGAAAGUCUUCGUCGGACCGAACAGAGUAAAUGAUGCUGCCGAUAGCCUGUCUGCACAGCGGGCACGAUGGUUGUCUCUUGGCCCAACGCACAAUGCAGCCCAGGCAGAACAGGUGGACGCAGGGUGUUACAGAAGCGAUUUCAGCUGGAAUGUCACGGCAGAUGGGGCAGUUCCACUCUGUGGCCAUGCUUGCGUGUUGUAGCAGAGCUGGGGACAGCAGCUGCUCCUUCUUUGUUGGCGUGACACUCUGAAAAAUGGUCACUUGCAGUCCCAGGGAAAUGGGCAGGUAGAAGAAAUGCCCAAGCCCCUCAAGAAGGACACACUCACAGCUCCCCAGACACCAUCACCCACCCCAGGGCCACCCUAUGGAAGCACAUUUCCUGCACCACUCACCUGUGCUGCUGCAAGCACCAGCCACAGUACUUAGCUUCCUGAACCAGAUAGGGCUAAGGAAACAGUCAAAGUCUUGUGCAUGAGAACUGAGAGUUGCUGACAGCAGCUCCCAAUGGCCUCACAGGCUUCCAGUCCUCCCAGGCACGCUUGCCAGGAGUCCAGACACGAGUGAGUCUGAAGCAGACACUGCCCGUGCCCAAACAUAAGCAGUGAGGGAUGUGAGGUCACAGUGCAUUGCUACCUUAGGUUGCCAACCAUGGAGUGUGUGGACUGCUGAUGUCAUGGUCCGCUCUUCUGUACUGGCAACCUUGACUGCCUUCCAAAUCUGCCCUAGCAUGUCUUUCUCCCCUGCAGGUACAUGGCAUCAGGAGAAAAAAUGGGUGACGGGAGGGUGCUAUGUACAUCAGGCACAUGGGCUGGCCUAUUGAAAUCUGGUGAGGUGACAGCCCAUAUUCUUUAUUCUCGAUGCUGCUUGCCUGCACCACUCAGAGAGGUAAGCACAUCCUUAUAUGUCAUGCCAAUCUCUGCACAAACUUGCCAGGUUGUUUUUAAAUUCAGCUUUUUUUCUUCUCUACAGCCCCAUGGGAUUGCGGUUGAGAGGCACAAUGGUGUGGUCAUUAGCUCAGUGACCAUUAAAACUCUCUGUUGCUCUCAUCCCAUUCAAAAAUAAAGUUGAAAAUGGAUAGAUAGCUGAAAAGUAAGCAACAAGCACAAUUUUUGUGCAAACCAGUCAGAAAUGUGGAGAAAAACUAUACUUCACUGAGUUUUAAUCUCUCUCCUUUGUGGUAGGGCUUGCCACAGACUGGGCCACCCAAGCAAGGGCAGGUCUGCCUGUUCUUGCUGUGCUUCCCAAGCUGCUUUGCCUGCAGAUUUCAGAGAGCUGUAAAUCACUCCAGCCAGGCUUGCAGCUGGACAUUUUCUUUCUCCUUAGGAUCUUUUACUAAAACUACGGGAAGUGAUCAAGUGAGUUAUAGCUCGAAACCAGCCUGGUAGAGAAGGGAAUUUUUAGAGGAGUUUUCCUGCCUCAUCUUCUCAGAAAUAUCUUUGAGUGAAAAAGCCCUAAGCACAUCAUAGGAUCAUCCCUACCUUCUUGAACCUUCAAAAUACAUAACCUCAACCAGUGCCAACUGAGCAGAAGUUUAGUUCACGUUCAGUGUGAAGUAAAACGUCUAAAAGCCAAGUUCAUGCUGCUUUGAUGAAUGAGCCCAAUAUCCAGGGUUCUCGGUCGGAGGAAGAUGGAUGUGUGUCGAUCUGAGCUUUUUCUUGGCUCUUUCCUUGCACUGACCCCCUUCAGUGCUGAGGGCAGCACCAAGCUCUCACCUGGCCCCUUCCUGUGCACAGGCUGUUGUCAUUUUUAAGGGCAGGAUCUCUUAAAGAUCCCUUGAAGAGUUUUGGUUUAUUAUGAGAGGGAAAGAGUAAAAAAAUCAGUGAUCCAUCUCUUUGGACCAGGGACUUACCUGAGCUUCCUUGGAGACUCUAUCUGUUGUGCUAUUGGCACUUGGCCUGGCUGACCCUGGGCUGUCCUGUCCAGCGGUCUCUCAUUAACGAGCAGGAUGGGAUGUGGUUCUAGUCUAAGGAGAUUUGUGUUUCUGCUGGGUCCAUUAAUUCCAGAGUCCAUUUUCAGGAUGGCAAAUCAGUAGCACUGGGGUCAAGAAGGAAUCUUCCCCCAGGGCAGACUGGCACUGGUUCCUAGGGAGUUUUGCUUUCCUCUGCAGCACUGAGCAUGACCACUGUUCAGGGCUCCUUCAGUCCCUUUUGGCUGGGUUGCUGCCUGCUGCUCAUGCCCCAUGAAGAUGGUCUGUCAUACCCUGCAGCUGUGGGCAAGAAGCUUUCCAGACUCCCAGGGUGGGUCCCAAGGGUGGCCUGGGGGUUGCUUCUUGUCCUCCUGUAGCACUGGGAACAGCCCCUGUCAGGGCUCCUCUGGGCUCCUGUGACUCCAUUCUUGCCUGCUGCCCUCACACCUCCAAGGCACCACUUGUGCCCUGGCUCUCUCUGGCUCUCUUGCCCAUUGCAAACCUGGAGUGGGGCUGAGCUCUGCUCUUCCCUUGGCUCCA
ensembl:lncRNA